rnacentral:misc_RNA from 1 species
UUGAGAUCAAAAGGAAGUCACAGAAAAUUGAUCGGGUUCCAGACGGGGCGGGUCAAGUUGGGUACUUUCACCAUCUCUGGCAAUUAUUUAGUGCACUAGGCCCCCAGCUUCUCCGUUGCGUCUCUCUCGCUGCGAAGCUGCGGCCUGUAAGUUCCGAUUCAAUCACUUCGUCUCCCACUCGCUCUCUCUGGUAACCCAAAACCCAACUCUAGUCUCCAUCACUCCCUCUGCUAAAAGUGCUCGGCACAUCAACCCAGGGUUAAAUUGAACGUACUAUGAAGAGGAC